rnacentral:rRNA from 1 species
UGAGGAAUAUUGGUCAAUGGACGCAAGUCUGAACCAGCCAUGCCGCGUGCAGGAAGACGGCUCUAUGAGUUGUAAACUGCUUUUGUACGAGAGUAAACGCUCUUACGUGUAAGAGCCUGAAAGUAUCGUACGAAUAAGGAUCGGCUAACUCCGUGCCAGCAGCCGCGGUAAUACGGAGGAUCCAAGCGUUAUCCGGAUUUAUUGGGUUUAAAGGGUGCGUAGGCGGUUUGAUAAGUUAGAGGUGAAAUACCGGUGCUUAACACCGGAACUGCCUCUAAUACUGUUGGACUAGAGAGUAGUUGCGGUAGGCGGAAUGUAUGGUGUAGCGGUGAAAUGCUUAGAGAUCAUACAGAACACCGAUUGCGAAGGCAGCUUACCAAACUAUAUCUGACGUUGAGGCACGAAAGCGUGGGGAGCAAACAGGAUUAGAUACCCUGGUAGUCCACGCAGUAAACGAUGAUAACUCGCUGUCGGCGAUACACAGUCGGCGGCUAAGCGAAAGCGAUAAGUUAUCCACCUGGGGAGUACGUUCGCAAGAAUGAAACUCAAAGGAAUUGACGGGGGCCCGCACAAGCGGAGGAACAUGUGGUUUAAUUCGAUGAUACGCGAGGAACCUUACCCGGGCUUGAAAGUUACUGACGAUUCUGGAAACAGGAUUUCCCUUCGGGGCAGGAAACUAGGUGCUGCAUGGUUGUCGUCAGCUCGUGCCGUGAGGUGUCGGGUUAAGUCCCAUAACGAGCGCAACCCCUACCGUUAGUUGCCAUCAGGUCAAGCUGGGCACUCUGGCGGGACUGCCGGUGUAAGCCGAGAGGAAGGUGGGGAUGACGUCAAAUCAGCACGGCCCUUACGUCCGGGGCUACACACGUGUUACAAUGGUAGGUACAGAGGGCAGCUACCCAGUGAUGGGAUGCGAAUCUCGAAAGCCUAUCUCAGUUCGGAUCGGAGGCUGAAACCCGCCUCCGUGAAGUUGGAUUCGCUAGUAAUCGCGCAUCAGCCAUGGCGCGGUGAAUACGUUCCC